AUGCUCACUUCGGCAGCACAUAUACUAAAAUUGGAAUGAUCUAGAGAAUUAGCAUGGUCCCUGUGCAAGGAUGACAUGCAAAUUUAUAUAUAUAUAUAUAUAUAU